rnacentral:rRNA from 1 species
GCGUGGGUAGCAAACAGGAUUAGAUACCCUGGUAGUCCACGCCGUAAACGAUGUCGACUAGCCGUUGGGUCCCUUGAGGACUUAGUGGCGCAGUUAACGCGAUAAGUCGACCGCCUGGGGAGUACGGCCGCAAGGUUAAAACUCAAAUGAAUUGACGGGGGCCCGCACAAGCGGUGGAGCAUGUGGUUUAAUUCGAUGCAACGCGAAGAACCUUACCUACCCUUGACAUCCUGCGAACCCGGAAGAGAUUCCGGGGUGCCUUCGGGAGCGCAGAGACAGGUGCUGCAUGGCUGUCGUCAGCUCGUGUUGUGAAAUGUUGGGUUAAGUCCCGUAACGAGCGCAACCCUUGUCCCUAUUUGCCAGCGAUUCGGUCGGGAACUCUAGGGAGACUGCCGGUGACAAACCGGAGGAAGGUGGGGACGACGUCAAGUCAUCAUGGCCCUUACGGGUAGGGCUACACACGUGCUACAAUGGCCGGUACAAAGGGUUGCGAAGCCGCGAGGUGAAGCCAAUCCCAGAAAGCCGGCCUCAGUCCGGAUUGGAGUCUGCAACUCGACUCCAUGAAGUCGGAAUCGCUAGUAAUCGUGCAUCAGAAUGGCACGGUGAAUACGUUCCCGGGCCUUGUACACACCGCCCGUCACACCAUGGGAGUGGACUGCACCAGAAGUGGUUAGCCUAACUUCGGAGGGCGAUCACCACGGUGUGGUUCAUGACUGGGGUGAAGUCGUAACAAG